GGAGGAGUGGCAGAGUGGUCGAAUGCACCGGUCUUGAAAACCGGCGAUGUGCAAGCAUCCGUGGGUUCGAAUCCCACCUCCUCCG
rnacentral:tRNA from 1 species